rnacentral:lncRNA from 1 species
CCCAAAUUGCUAAAUGCAAAACCUUGGUUAAUUUACUUUAUCUUCCCAAGCUUCUCAAUUUUUCUUAUCUGUACAAUAUUUCAUCAUCAUUAUUGCUGUUCAAACCACCAGACAUGUUCGACUGAACAGCAAGGGAAGCUUUGAAAUGGAAACUAAUAUUAGCAACAAAGAUUUCUAUGGGAGUCUUACUAUUUGCAAAAUGUUUCCACGUAUAUUUUUUUCCUUAAAGCAUUUUAGGCAGUGAUUUUUCAAACUCUGCUCACUGAAUCCCCAAAGUCCCUGGAGCCUCCCCGCGGGAGAGAGGACCAAGAAUGGAUUCCCGGCUUAAGACAAAAGAAGUUGGAAACUCACUGAUUCCAAGAAAGUGGUGCAAGAAGGAAGGUGGUGACUGUUGUGGGCAUGACAGCCUCCCCUCUUGCUCAGAAUGGUUCACCCAUCCUGCUCUUUCUUUCCCAGCUGCUUCUUGACUCCCUGGGUCACAGCUCAGCUACUAGAAACAAUGUCCCAUCCACCCCCUCCAAAGCCCAGAGUCCAGGGUCCUCACCCUAGUUCACCAAAACCCCAGACCCGCCCUCACUCGUGAUGCUUAAGUCCUGUCAUGACUCAGACAGGCAUUGGAGAGAUGAUAAAAUUCACAGUCCGAGGACAUUCCGGAGACUUGCUGCCUUACUUCCAAAGGGCAAUGAUUGUCAUUAUGCUAACUGCUUUCCUGGUCAAAAAACAUGUGUUUUUAUUAUUAUUAUUAUUAUUAUUAUUAUUAUACUUUAAGUUUUAGGGUACAUGUGCACAAUGUGCAGGUUUGUUACAUAUGUAUACAUGUGCCAUGUUGGUGUGCUGCAC